UACAGAGGUCUCGAGCGUUGUUCGGAUUCAUUGGGCGUAAAGGGUGCGUAGGUGGCGCCGUAAGUCGGGUGUGAAUCUCGGAGCUUAACUCCGAAACUGCAUUCGAUACUGCCGUGCUUGAGGACUGGAGAGGAGACUGGAAAUUUACGGUGUAGCGGUGAAAUGCGUAGAUAUCCGGAAGACACCGAUGGCGAAGGCAACCACCUGGGCCUGUACUGACGGCUGAGGUACGAAAGCGUGGGGA
rnacentral:rRNA from 1 species